ensembl:lncRNA
UUAGCUUUUGCCCUGAUAGAUUUGAGAGGGUGGACGCAUCGGCGGAAAUGGAGUCCCUAGAGAAAGCAAGAACAAGGUUCAGGAGUAGUGCAGUAUUAUCAUAAGUAGACGUAUACUUGGAAAACAGGAGGAAUGGAGGGAGAAAGAGGGAGAGGACGUCUAAGAGAAAGAGGAAGAAGAGGGUUCACUGACGAUGCAAUCGCCAUCACACUGCACACUGCCCUAUCCCAGCUGGACAAGAGGAAUACCUAUGUAAGAAUGUUGUGCAUUGACUACAGCUCUGCAUUUAAUACCAUAGUACCCUCCAAACUCGUCAUUAAGCUCGAGACCCUGGGUCUCGACCCCACCCUGUGCAACUGGGUCCUGGACUUUCUGAUGAGCCGCCCCCAGGUGGUGAAAGUAGGAAACAACAUCUCCACCUCGCUGAUCCUCAACACUGGGGCUCCCUGUUCUCCUACUCCCUGUUCACCCAUGACUGCGUGGCCAUGCACGCUUCCAACUCAAUCAUCAAGUUUGCAGACAACACUACAGUGGAAGGCUUGAUUACCAACAACAACGAGACGGCCUACAGAGAGCAGGUGAAGGCCCUCGGAGUGUGGUGUCUCACUCAACGUCAACAAAACAGAGGAGAUGAUCGUGGACUUCAGGAAACAGCAGAGGGAGCACCCCCCUAUCCACAUCGACGGGCCAGUAGUGGAGAGGGUAGAAAGUUUUAAGUUCCUCGGCGUACACAUCAUGGACAAACUGAAAUGGUUCACCCCCACAGACAGCGUGGUGAAGGAGGCACUUCAGGAGGCUGAAGAAAUUUGGCUUGUCACCGAAAACACUCACAAACUUUUACAGAUGCACAAUCGAGAGCAUCCUGUCAGGCUGUAUCACCGCCUGGUACAGCAACUGUUCCACCCACAACCGCAAGGCUCUCCAGAGGGUAGUGCGGUCUGCAGAACGCAUCACAGAGGACAAGCUACCUGCCCUCCAGGACACCUACAUUACCUGAUGUCACAGGAAGGCCAAAAAGAUCAUCAAGGACAACAACCACCCAAGCCACUGCCUGUUCACCCCGCUAUCAUCCAGAAAGCGGGGUCAGUACAGGUGCAUAUAAGCUGGGACCAAGAGACUGAAAAACAGCUUCUAUCUCAAGGCCAUCAGACUGUUAAACAGCCAUCACUAACAUAGAGAGGCUGCUGUCAACAUACAGACUCAAAUCUCUUGCCACUAUAAUAAAUGGACUUAAUAAAGGUAUCACUAGUCACCUUAAAUAGCGCCACUUUAAAAAUAUUUACAUAUCCUACAUUACAUAUGUAUAUACUGUUCUAUACCAUCUACUGCAUCUUGCCUAAACCUAUCAUUAGUCACUUUAAAUAACGCAACUUUAAUCAUGUUUACAUAUCCUACAUUACUCAUCUCAUAUGUACAGUAUAUACUGUUCUAUACCAUCUACAGCAUCUUGCCUAUGCUGCACAGCCAUCGCUCAUCCAUAUAUUUAUAUGUACAUAUUCUUAUUCAUCCCUUACAUUUGUGUGUGUAUAAGGUAGAUGUUGGGAAUUUGUUACAUUACUUGUUAGAUAUUACUGCAUUGUCGGAACUAGAAGCACAAGCAUUUUUCUACCCUCCAUGAACAUCUGCUAACCAUGUGUAUAUAACCAA